CCUGUCAAUCAAGCGCUGGGCUGGGCUGGGCGUGGAGCAAGCUGAGGCGGUUUGCGGAGAGCGAGCGAGAGGCUGGGAAGCGCCUGGCCUGACCCUCGCUGUGGUGGUUUCUGUCUCCGGCAGCUCUAGCCGGUUACUUUGGGCCUUCCUCCCCAGCGCACGGUAGAGACUCCACGGCAGACAUUGCCGCCUCCCUGGUUCAGCCCCAGCUGUUCUGGGAGCUUCCUCCUGGUUUCUGCACUCGAAGAGGUUCUUGCCAACGAAAGGUUUUUACGGACGGGGAGAAAACGAAAAACAAACCAAAAGGCCUGGAAAUGGGAACCUGAGAGAAAAAAUUGCUGAUGAAUGUGGUUUGGUUGCCAUUAUUUGGGAUCACAAGGUCAAGCACAAAUCACCUAGGACCCCCUCCUGGCUUCAAGUUAACUGGCCAAGUAAACCACGAAACUCUGGGCCACAGCUACCCUAUGUCUGCAUCCCAUUAUUAGCAUCCAAAGCGAAUAAUGUACAGAAAGCAUCUGCUGCCCUGCAACUGAGUCCUUGCCUUGGCAAAAUGCAUUAAUAGCAAUGGCAUGUGGAAACAAUAUUUUGUUUUGUAUCUAUCCUAUCAAAGAGGACUCCCUAAAUUUGGGCAGGCUUCAUGCCAGAUGAAGCAAUGAGGUGGAAAUUCCAAGGACACCAAGAAACUUGGAGCUAAAUCAACUAAUAUGAAGAAGUUGUGAGAAAAUAGGCAGAAAUUGGAAAAAGAUCAAGUCAUUUCUUCAAUACCAUUAAGUAAUUUUGAUUAUAUUUUAUAAACCAAAGGAAUCACAAAAAGCUUUUGUGCAUUUUUUAAAGGGUGGUGAAUGAAAGACAAAGACUUUUCAGAAGGCUAUUAUUAUGCUUGUUAGGACAUAAGACAAUGGGAGUUGGUGGAGAGGAACAGCCUUGAAUGAGGAUAAAGCAGUGGGAGAAAAAAGUAAGAAAUCUGAAUGAGGAUAUCAUGGGAGUUGGGCUAUUUUGAAGGAAAAGCAUAAAGUCUAGCCUUACAAUUUAGAAACUAGAAGACUAGGUAAUUAUUUAUAAACACCAGCUCAACCAUUGAGUUAAGUGAGAGAGCAAAAUAAAGAACAUUUUAGAUUUCUCUAAACUCAGAAAGUUGACUACUCAUGCAUGCCCUUGGAUAUUUAAAAAAAUUGUCAAAAAGUUCUUAACAAGAUAAAAACAACACUUCAAUAACACCAAUGGCAUUUCUAUAUAAUCGUUAAUUUGUUUAAUACUCAUAGCAACUCUAUGAGACAGGUAUUAUUGUUAUUCCAACAAGUGAGGAAACUGAGGCACAAAGAGAUUUAUCCACACAGCUUUCCGGAGCAGUAUGGUUCCAGAGUCCUUGUUUUUAAUUAUUAAACUGAGAUGACAAUGCUAUUAAAGAGAAAAUAGGAAAUUUGAAUUUUUAAAAAUAUCAUUUUAAAUGUUUAAAUUUUAAGCUGGAGCUUCCUGGCAAGUAAGCUGAACAGGAGGAAUUUUAGUUGAGGGAAAAAUCAGAAAUCAUAAUUUUGGGAGACUUUUGAAGUGAAAGAAUGUAGUAGAGAAGGACAGAGAGGAGUUGAACUGUGGGAUGGAAGAAGGAGUAGGAGCUAGCAACAGUAUAAGACCAGUAAAUCAGGCAGGUUGUAGAUACCAGGGAUUACCUUAAAAUAAAGGGAAAUAGGACUUUAAGGAGGGUUUAGGGAUUGGAUGUGUCAAGAAAAUGAUGAAUGAGAAAAUGAUUGUUAAUUAGAACUCUGUUGAUCUUAAAGUGCAAUUUCAUUUUGCUAUUACGAAGUCUGAUUGAUACAGGCUAAGGAAUAAAGUAUAAAAGAAGGCGGUGA